rnacentral:rRNA from 1 species
GCCGAGUUAAAAGAAGGAUAUUGAUCUUCUUUUACUUCUAAAUCCGCCUUCUGACUAGGAUUUCAUUAUUAUAGUCUUUCGUAUUAUCUAAUUUAGAUAGUGUAGCCCAUCUCUUCCCACUUUAUAUGCUGCACCUUGACCUGACGUAUUGGCGUAGGGGCAUUAGGCUCACUAGUUUGCGCUCACGAGGUAAGCUGACGACGGAGGUAUACAGGCUGAUAAACUAAAAGUGGUGAGGUUAAACGGGGGUUAUCGAUUAUAGGACAGGCUCCUCUAGGUGGAUGUGGGGUACCGUCAAGUCCUUUGGGUUUUAAGCU